CCAAGGUGGAGUAGUUUGAGAUAUUGACACUUCUGUGCAAAAGUUGUUUCAAGAUAACUAGAUAAUCUCAGAGGUUGAACACAGUACGGAUUAGAAACUCCCAACAGAAGAAACGCCCUGAAGGUAGAGACCACGUCGGUUAGCGCCCUUCACCCCCGCAGCCCAGUCCCAGCAGCGGGGAAGUUAACCAAAGUCUCUUUAAGAACCGGUGACUUAACCUCGUUUAGGCGCUUGCGCGCCAGCCGCAAGACUACAUUUCCCAGAAGCGAGGAGAGGAAUCUUGGGUUCUGCUGGAUGCCGGGAGCGCCAUGCUAUCUCUGAGCGGGCGCAAUUGGGGAAGUGUCUAUUUUUAUUUCCGCUGACUAAGGAGGAGGUUGCGGCUGUAUGAUCGCCACAGCGGUGGUUUAUGAAGUCCCUUUCAUCUCUCAAGCUAAGAUCCUGUGAUGUUUCAGAAAUUACUGACAUUCCAAGAUGUUGCUGUGGAAUUCACGCAGGAGGAAUGGAGCUGUUUGGAUCCUGGCCAGAAGGACCUGUACAGGGACGUGAUGCUGGAGAACUAUGAGAACUUUGUCUUUCUUGGGUUUCCAGUAACUAAACCAAACGUGAUUUCUCGGCUGGAGAGACAUGAAGCCCCCUGGCUAUCAAGGGAAGAAGACCCCAGAUGCAUUUCUGAGGAUUCUCCUGUUGAAAAAAGAGAAUGUGAAACCAAGGAGUCAACUCCAAAACAGUGUUUUACUAUCAGAGAGACAUCCAGAGAGGGACUCAUAAAGGAUGAUUUCUACAAAUCUAAAUUGGGAGAAGCUUGGAAUUAUGACACUGGAUUAAAAAGGCAGAUAAAUAAUCUGGAAAGACAGUCCAUGAAGCUAGUAAUAAAGCAUAGCAAAAAGUCAUGUAGCAGAAUUUUCAUGGUAAUUAAUAAGUACAAAAAGUUUUUCCAUUACUACUCAAAACUGAAUCAUUACCAUAGAGUGUGUUCUCAAGGAGAACCUCAUAGAAUCGAUGAAUGUGACAAAACUUUCCACAUCAAUUCAGACUUUAGUGUACACGGAGGAAUUCAUGCUGGAGUGAAAGCUGAUAAAUUUGGUGACUAUGGUAAUACAUCUGACUGCCAACCUUACCUUAGUGUUCCACAGAAGAAUCUUCAAGAAGAAAAGCCUAUUAAACGAUAUUAUAAUGAUAGCAAAACUUUUAGGCAGAGGGGAUAUCUUUCUCCACAUAAUACACUUCCUUCUGAAGAGAAACCUUAUAAAUGUAACGAAUGUGGGAAAACUUUCAGCCUUAAGGAAAUCUUUAAUAAACACAAGAAAAUUCAUACUGGAAUGAAACUCUAUAAAUGUAAUGAAUGUGGAAAAGCUUAUAAGGACAAAGCAUCCUUUAACAGACAUGAGCGAAUUCAUACUGGAGAGAAACCCUUUAAAUGUAAUGAAUGCGGAAAAGCCUUCAUUCAGAAUUAUCUCCUUAAUAUCCAUAAAAAAAUUCAUAGUGGAGAGAAACCCUAUAAAUGUGAUGAAUGCGGAAAAGCCUUCACUCUGAAGUAUCGCCUUAAUAUGCAUAAAAAUAUUCAUACUGGAGAGAAACCCUAUAAAUGUAAUGAAUGUGAGAAAACUUUCACUCAGACGUAUCACCUUAAUAGACAUAAGAAAAUUCAUACUGGAGAGAAACCAUAUAUAUGUAAAGAAUGUGGGAAAGCCUUCAUGUUAAAGGGAAGGCUUGAAGUACAUGAAGUAAUUCAUACUGGGCAGAAACCCUAUAAAUGUAAUGAAUGUGGGAAAGCCUUCCGCCAGAAAGGAGCCCUUAAUUCACAUAAGAGAAUGCAUACAGGAGAGAAACCCUUUAAAUGUAAUGAAUGUGGAAAAGCCUAUCAGCAGAAAGGAGGCCUUGAUGCACAUAAGAGAACUCAUAGUGGAGAGAAACCCUUUAAAUGUAAUGAAUGUGGAAAAGCCUAUCAGCAGAAAGUAGGCCUUGAUUCACAUAAGAGAACUCAUAGUGGAGAAAAACCCUUUAAAUGUAAUGAAUGUGGAAAAGCCUAUCAGCAGAAAGUAGGCCUUGAUUCACAUAAGAGAACUCAUAGUGGAGAGAAACCCUUUAAAUGUAAUGAAUGUGCAAAAGCCUUCAGGGACAAGGCAGGCCUUAAUUCACAUAUGAGAAUUCAUACUGGAGAGAAACCAUUUAAAUGUAAUGAAUGUGGAAAAUCCUUCAGGGAGAAAAGCAGUCUUAAUUCACAUAGGAAAAGUCAUAACUGAUAUGAAACUUUGUAAUAAAUGUGGAAAAGCCCUCAAAGUUAAGGAACAUCUUAAUAGACAUAAGAAAACUCAUACUGAUGAGAAACUCUAUAUAUGUAAUGAAUGUGGAAAAGUCUUCAAAUUCUCCACAAGGAGGGCCGGAGAUGUCCGAAGCCCCGUCAGGCUCGGGGAAGCUAGAAGAGGCAGUCUCUGUUGUGGUUUCCCGUUUUCCUGUGACCUGGCCCGGCCCCCAACAACUGGUGCCGGAACAGGGACCUGACCUGGAUGAAGACCAAGCCGGACCAAGAGUCUACUCACCGCGGGAACCAGGAAGAGGUAAGUGCUGCGCUCUUUCACCUCAUAUUGCUGCAGGUCAGCAAUUGAGAAGACCAGACAGCCUAGUUGAACUAACUCAGAGAAUAGUUCAUUAGAAGGCAGAAGUAUGGGACAGAAACAAAUAAGAGCCUGUAUUGAGCCAGAGGAUGUAGGCGUACUCGCCUGUCAAUUGUAUAAAUUGUGUAAGAGUAAUGGGAUAAAGAUUAAUAUAAGAGCUUGCAGGGAAUGGGUCAGAAAAAUAUUUCAAGUCAGCCCCUGGAUAGAACACACCGGUAUAGACCCCGACCGGUGGGGAGUGGUUGGCCAGCAGAUGGCCUCCUACCACAAAGAAGACCCAUCCUUUCUUUCCAAACAAGAUUUUGUGAUGUAUACGGUGGUGGGAGCAGCUUUACAUCCUGCACUCCCACCGCCCAUAAACUCUCUAGAGACCCAGGUAGGUGACUCCCUUUAUGGUAUGGAGAGUGAGGAUGAGAUUUAUUUCUCCUGUGAUCCCCCGCCAAUGUACCCAUGGGAUAGUUUAAGAAGGGCAGGGAAUGGAAAGUUCCAGGAGAGACCUGAGAAAGAAAGAAAGGGAACUUUUUUGAUGGAUGACCCUGAAAAAAGGGGAGUUUUCUCAGAUCAGGGUCAUAGAACAGGAGAAAAACGUGCAGGAUUUAUGUCGAAACCAGGGGAGAAAGAACCAAUAAACAAAGACCCACCCUUUAGUCCACAUAGAAACCUUUCUAGGGAGCCAGGUAACGGGAGUGGGGGGGGGGGGGACACAAACAAAAAACCACAGGUAUGCAAACUGGAGAACCAGGAAGUGAGAAACGAGAAAAACAAAAAACCGUUACUAUGCAACCCCCUCGAACAAAAGAAGGUACAUACCAGAGUAUAUUAACUACAAGUCUGAGAGUGGCCUUAAGGGAGGGGGAGGAUGUGGAUCUUGAUGAAUGGGGUUUGAAACCUGGAGCGUUCCCAGUGUUUACACAAGUUUUAAAUGAUGGGACUCACGCACUCGCUCAUCGGCCACUGCCAUAUAAAUUUUUGAAAGAUAUGAAAGAAGCUAUAGAAAAAUAUGGGCCAGGUUCUACUUAUGUAAAGAAGUGCAUUUCUGCCUCUAUUGCAGUUGCACCAUGGCUUCCUUAUGAUUAUGCAGAAAUCAUGCAGACAGUUUUAGGCCCGGCAGAAUUUGUUGCCUUUAAGGCCUAUGCACAAAGGUGUGCGAGAGCAUAUGUGGAGGAAAUGAAUAUAGCUAAUGCUGAAGAGGCCAUAAAUAUGAUCACAGGACAGGGGAAUUGGAUUACUCCUGAAGCUCAGCUCCAGCUUAAUGAUCAAGUGCUGAGAGCUGUGCAGACAGUUCACACUAGAGCCCUUGAAAAAAUGGGGGUUCAAAAUGGGACAAAUAAAAUAUCAGGACUCAAACAGAAACCUAGUGAGAAGCCUCUACAGUUUAUAUCUAGAGUACAGGAGACAGUAGAGAGUACAUUUGGAAAAACUGGGGCCAGUCCUCAAUUAACUUUACAAUUGAUUAAGGAGAGCCUCCGUCCUGAAUACAAACCAGUUUUGGCUUCUCUCCCACCCAGCCCUACACUUGAGGAGUUGAUUGAUAAAUUAUUAGACAUUCCAGAGAAGGAUCCUAUGGCUAUGCUUACUGAAACAAUGGCCAAUCUUGUGAAAGGAAUGCAAAAAACAACUGAUGAGAGGAAAUGUUUUAAUUGUGGGAAGUCAGGCCAUUAUAGGUCAGCUUGUACACAGCCAAAGAAGGGGAUACAGUGUUAUUCCUGUGGAAAAUCAGGACAUAUUGCUAGAUAUUGUAGGUCAGGACAGAGACAGAGAGCGGGAAACGGGAGACCGGGAGGCCAAGGGGGGAAUGAGCCGUCCCGGCACACUCCGGCCCCAAGCAGAACCUUUUCGACCCAAGCAAGGAGAGAGAUAAUUGCAUUAAAUGAACCCCUGAUUGAGCUCUCCCCAUGGAGCACGGUCACUGUAAAAGUAAUUGAACAAAACUACCCUCGGUUAGUUAUUGGGUCUGAAUAUUUUCCUUCUAUUAUCAUACAUAGUCAAUUACUAAAUCCAGGAGAAAAAGAUAUUUGGAUUACGAAUCCUCAUGCAUGGCCAAUUGAGAUAACAUAUGAAAAGGAAAUAGCAAAGGCCAUUCCACUUCCAUGAAUAGAUAAGAAUUAUGUAAAGACAACUCCUAGAACUUUAAUAAAUUGGGUACAGCAAAUCACAGCAGACCGUCCCAUGAUUACACUAGGAGUAGAAGGACAUCACAUAGAGGGCAUGUUGGAUACUGGAGCAGAUGUUUCAGUAAUAAGAGAGGAAGAUUGGCCUUUAGAGUGGGAAAAGAGACGGAGACCUCAGCCAAUAACUGGAGUUGGUGGUCUCCAGGCUGCGUAUACAACCCCAAGAUAUUUGAGAUGGGAGUAUGAGGAUAGACAGGGUGUUUUUAAACCACUCUGUGUGACUGGGCUUCCUGUAAAUCUAUGGGGACGCAACUGAGUACUGAAGAUCAUCAUUUAAACUGAUUGGGGCCACCUGGGAAGCGAGGGCUAUCCCCUUAAAAUGGAAACAUAAUCAACCUAUAUGGGUGGACCAGUGGCCCCUAACAGAACAGAAGUUACAAGCCCUCCACGAGAUAGUUCAAAACUUACUAAAGGAGAAACAUAUUGAACCAUCAACAAGCCCCUAUAAUUCUCCAGUAUUUGUCAUCCAAAAGAAAUCAGGGAAAUGGAGAAUGUUAAUAGAUUUAAGGAAGGUAAAUGAGGCAGUGGUGCCAUUUGGUGCACUUCAACCUGGCCUACCUUCACCUACUGCUAUCCCAAGGGGAUGGAAAAUUAUCAUAAUAGAUAUAGCAGACUGUUUCUUCUCAAUUCCCUUGCAUCCAGAUGAUUGUGAAAAAUUUGCAUUUUCUGUUCCUUCUAUUAAUCUGGAAUCCCCUGCAGAGCGUUAUAAAUUUAAAGUGCUCCCUCAAGGAAUGGCUAAUAGCCCUACCUUGUGUCAAAUGUAUGUAGCUGCUAUUCUUGCCCCUAUUAGGGAGAGAUUUCCUACAGCAAAAAUAAUCCAUUACAUGGAUGAUGUAUUGAUCUCACAUCCUCAACAAAAGAUUAUAGAUGAAAUAUUAGAACAAACUAUUAUAACAUUAAAUAAGAAUCACCUUCAGGUAGCCCCAGAAAAGAUUCAGAAAGGAUUGAAUUUUCAGUAUUUAGGCCAUCGAAUUAAUGGGAAUCAAGUAUCUAAGCAAAUUCCCAGAAUGGCCUUGGAAAAGGUAAAGACACUUAAUGACUUCCAAAAAUUGAUAGGUUCAAUCCAGUGGAUAAGGGCCUCAAUUCCUAUAACAGAUCAAGAGAUGGAACCCCUCUAUACAAUUCUUAAAGGAGACCCAAACUUAAAUUCACCCCGAGAAUGGUCUAAGGAUGCUUUAAGGGUCCUGGACAUUAUAGCACAGAGAACUCCACAAACCCUUACACGUGUUGAUAUAAAAGAACCAAUAGAGUUGACUAUACUCAAUAAUGAAGGAAUGAUUGCUGUCCUUUUUCAAUCAUGUGGAAUUUUAGAGUGGGUAAAUGGAAGCAAAGUGAAGAAAUGUUUAAGAGACAGCCAAGAAUCACAAGCAGCAAUAGUAAUGAAAGCUAGUGAAAGAUGUGUACAACUUUUUGGGAAAUGCCCAAUAAUUUAUUCAUCAACUCCUUUAGAGGUCCUUAGAGAGUUAGCUCAAGAAUAUGAAGCUUGGCUGUGAUAUAUAUCACCCAUACAUUCACCUCUUCACCUCUUCCCCCCGUCAUUCGGGGAUGGAAAGAGAUGCCUAUAACCUUAUCCAGAAGCCCUCUUUCACAAUACCCAGUAGAUGGUGUAAACGUGUUUACAGAUGCCACUAAAGCCAAUAGGGCUGCUGUGUAUAUCCCUGAAAAGAAAAUAUUAGAAGUAAUACAGACUCCUUUCUCUUCUGCUCAAAAGAAUGAGCUAGCAGCCAUUUGUUUUGCAUUGAGGUUAUUGCCUCAUGACCCCUUUAAUUUAAUCACUGACAGUCUAUAUUGUGCUAAUGCUCUACAACACAUAGCUGAUGCUGAGUUGGAUAUGUCAAGUUCUUCUAUUAAGGAACUGUUCAAACAAGUUCAAAGCUUACUCCUUGCUAGAAAGGAGCCUAUAUAUGUCCUUCAUAUUAGAUCUCACACCUCGCAGUGUGGGCCUAUAUUUCAGGGCAAUUCUAUAGUGGAUUCUUCCCUCUCAUCUCCUGUCACAACUAUAUGGUAUUUAGCCCCUGAGUUAGCUCAUUCUCAAUUCCACCUAUCCACUCGAUCUUUACAUCAGUUAUAUGGUAUUUCCCGGGAUCAAGCCCGCCAGAUAGUCAAACGCUGUACUGCCUGUAUUCCUUUUAGACCCCCUCCUCGAGAAUCUACUUCUAAUCCUCAAGGUGAUCUACCAAACUCUCUUUGGCAAAUGGAUGUUACUCACUUUCAAUCCUCUUUGAUUCAUGUAACUGUGGAUACAUUUUCUGGCUUUAUAAUGGCAACUCUACAGAACAGUGAGGCCACAAAAAGUGUAAUACAACAUAUGUUAGAAUGUUUUGCAGUUGUAGGAGUACCCCUCACUCUAAAAACUGAUAAUGGCCCUGCAUAUACUUCUCGAGGCUUUAAGGCCUUUCUUAAUGAGUUUGCCAUUCAUCAUAUUACAGGUAUUCCUUAUAACCCUACAGGACAAGCAAUAGUGGAGCGUGCUAAUCAAUCUCUAAAACGCACACUCAUUAAACAAAAAGGGGGAGUGGCUGGAAGGGUGACAAGAGCACAAGUAGCCAAAGCAGUAUUUACUCUGAACUAUCUACAAGUCAGAGAGGAUGGUACAACACCAGCCAUGAAAUUUUACAUUACUUCCCCAAAUAGAAAUGACAAUCAUAAAAAACAAGAUAAUGAGUUACACCCACGGACUUGCCUGGAGGGCAGUACUGUGUGGUGGAAAGACGAGAAAGGAAAUUGGAAUGGCCCUCACAAGGUCCUUGUGAGAGGCAGAGGAUAUCUUUGUGUCUCUACAGGUGGGAAUGGAGAAGGAGAAAAGAAAUGUUUCCUGUUACGAAAUGUCAGAGAAGUCCAGCAAAUGCCAUCGACGAUCUCUGAAGCAGAGACGGAGGGGAGGAAAAAAGAAACUUUACAAGAGGGGACAUAGAGGCAUGAGAAAAAAUGCAUCCGGCAAGGCAACGUGGAAACUAAUCACAGGCCUUUUGGCUAGCAUCCUGACUGAUUCUGCUAUCGCCGCCCCUAUGGUCCCCCAUACAUUAAAAUGGAAAGAUAUUGUAACCACCAAAGAAGCAGCCAAUUAUUGGGCUGUUACUCCAAAUUUGCCUGUUUUCCAAAUGAUGACAUGGCGUCAUCAACCCCUUCCAUUAAUUGUGCGUGGUAAUGCUUCUUUUCUUGACAGCCCUUGGUUAGAUUUCCCAGUCCCAUUCACAAAUAAGACUUACAAUGGUACCCUCACUUUCCACACCCGCUAUGCCCCUAUCUGUGUAUAUUAUGACACAAAUAGCUCAAAUGUUUUAGAGUAUUGUAUUCUUUUGACAUCAUGGAAAACUUCUCAAAGAUCCCACAGAGAUCGGGAUCUCAACAAUUUUACUAGUUCAUUAGAUGUUGAAUUGUUAGCAAUCCCACAUAAGGACCCGAUUAAUGUGUCACACAUAAGGCAAUCCUAUCUUCCUCCAUGUGCCCGUGAUGCAGAUGGAAUAGUAUUUACCCCUAUGGUUAGUUGUUCUACAGGACAAAUUGGUGGGAUUUACAACAUUGGAGAGGAGAAGUUAAUUUUUUGGGAUAGAAAUACCACCUCCACUUCCGUUUUAGUAGCCCCUUCCCCGGUGGUAGAAGAUAUUCCACAAACUCAGCUAUGGAAAAUAGGAUUGGUCUUAUAUGGUGUAAAUGUCUCUGUGAAUCUUUUCAAUCCAUUACAUAGGGAUUUAUCUUUUGGACAAUGGUUAGAGGUAUUCCAAAACAAAAAUUCUACCUGCCAUAGAAAUUAUGGAGAAAAUAGUACUCUCUGUUAUGAAUUUAAAGGAUAGGUUCUUAUGCUAGAUAAUGCAGCCUUUAUGCUUUGUAGGCACCCUAACAUUACUCAGGUGGAGGGUGGAUAUGUGAUCCAAUGUAACAACCCCUUAAUUACUAAUAGACUUAAUGAGAAUUACAUAGGUUAUGCUGUGUUUCUUCUUAGAGUUCCCCCCUACACUAUUCAUCCUGUUCAAGCUGAUGAUUUUGCUACUUCUAUCUCUGAUGAAUUAAUUGGAAGAUUAAGUAGACAGAAAAGAGAAGGGGAACUGGCAGCUGCAUUGUCAGUAGUGAAUUUGGCUCUCAAUGUUAUAGAAGAGAUACAGAUACAUAAUAUACAAAAUCAGUUAAGUUUUGUAGCCGCUUCGUUACAACAAUUUAUGGUUGAGAAUGGACAAGCUUGGAGACAUCAAGAACAGAUAGACAGUGCUCUGUUAGCUAGAAUAGCACAAACAACUGAGGUUUUGCAAGUGGUUGUACAUCAACAAGCUUUGAUGCUCCGCUAUAUGAGAAUGCAAUGUCAUUAUAAGUACUAUCCUAUAUGUGUUACCCCUGUUCCUUUUAACUCUACCUUAUACCAAUAUUUGGAAGAUGUGUUAAAAAAUGCUACUUAUGUUACAAAUACUUCUAGCGAAUUGAAAGCCCUUGAUCUUAUUAUUUCUGUUAUGCAAAAUGCUUCUACUGUUUUUGUCAAAGAAUGGAAUGAGGAAAUCUCGAAGGGAUUUACCUCUUGGUUCAAAGGUGUGAAUUUGACAGAUUUAGUUCAUUGGAUUACAAUUGGAUUCA